UGAGUAACCUGCCCUGGACUUUGGGAUAACCCUCGGAAACGGGGGCUAAUACCGGAUAUGACACGCUCUCGCAUGAGAUGUGCGUGGAAAGUUUUUCGGUCUGGGAUGGGCUCGCGGCCUAUCAGCUUGUUGGUGGGGUGAUGGCCUACCAAGGCGACGACGGGUAGCCGGCCUGAGAGGGCGACCGGCCACACUGGGACUGAGACACGGCCCAGACUCCUACGGGAGGCA
rnacentral:rRNA from 1 species